CUAUAUUUGACAAACUUGCUGCUUCGCUGUCGCCGCUCCGCUCGUCCGCUGGUUCGCCAAUGCCACACUCACCGCUCUGCUCGUCCGCUGGUUCGCCAACGCCUCACUCGCGGCUCUCAAGUAAUCGAUACUUGUGAAGACCAACAACGUGAAUUCAUUCUGUCACGGAUCAAGGUGCACUUGAAUGCUCCUGAAGUGAUAUACUUAUGGAAAGCACAUUGUUGCUCGUGUGGAGAAGCUCAUAGCUAAUGGAGGUAGAAAAAGUUGCAAAACACCCUUAACAGUUAUGCUCUUGUAAUCCCUUAACUGUAAUUCAAGUAAAUGACGGUGGUGAUGCCGAUUUUUAGGAUUAGUAAUUGCAGAUAUUGAUGCUCAUGUCAUCUUGAGGUACAUGUAAAAAUUUUACAGUUUGUAGAGAUGAGUAUAUCGUAGCCAAACUGUAAAGAAAAUGUUGAGCAAACGGCAUCUCUUGAAAGGUCGGGAAUUUUCUGGCUUUGUUA